AACCUCCGCAAUGUGAGAAAUCGCGACGGGGGGAUCCCAAGUGCCAUUCUUAACGGGAUGGCUUUUCAUUAGUGUAAAGAGCUUUUGGAAUAAGGGCUGGGCAAGACCGGUGCCAGCCGCCGCGGUAACACCGGCAGCUCUAGUGGUAGCAGUUUUUAUUGGGCCUAAAGCGUCCGUAGCCGGUUUAAUAAGUCUCUGGUGAAAUCCUGUAGCUUAACUGUGGGAAUAGCUGGAGAUACUAUUAGACUUGAGACCGGGAGAGGUUAGAGGUACUCCCAGGGUAGAGGUGAAAUUCUGUAAUCCUGGGAGGACCGCCUGUUGCGAAGGCGUCUAACUGGAACGGUUCUGACGGUGAGGGACGAAAGUUAGGGGCGCGAACCGGGAUUAGAUACCCGGGUAGUCCUAACUGUAAACGAUGCGGACUUGGUGUUGGGUGGCUUUGAGCUGCUCCAGUGCCGAAGGGAAGCUGUUAAGUCCGCCGCCUGGGAGUACGGUCGCAAGACCGAAACUUAAAGGAAUU
rnacentral:rRNA from 1 species